AAUAAGAGGCGUGUUCCACCACUGUGGACGGGGUCCCUGGGCUUUCCCCUAGGGUCCCAUCAGCUGCUUAUGUUCUACCUUCUGACGGAUCACAGGAGGAGCCUGCAGCGGAGGAGCCUCCUCCUCCUCAGCAUCAGACCUAAAGGGAGUGUCCUGCCUGAAGGACCGGCUCAAGGUCGCACUAACAGCUCUUGCUAACUCCUGUUCCAGGCUGUUUAUCUGGGCCUCCAAGUACCCUGCUUGCGCCUGGAGGUCUCUCACCCCCAGGUCCUGCUCAAAGCUGUGCACUUGGGCCCCCAGGCAUGCGGCUUGCUCCGGAAGGUCCCUUACCUGUGGCACUGAGCAUGUACUUCCUGCAGUGCAGUUAGAAAUGCCCAUCCGACUCUGCUUGCAAAGUUCCUUUAUUUAUAGGCACAGCUGCUUAAAGACUGUUACCGGAAAGGAAUCCUGAUCCAGACGCCAAGAGAGGGUUCUUGGACUCAUGCAAGAAAGACUUCAGUUCUCAGGUCCCUGGACCAUGAAGGGCCACAUCCAAGGAGCUACCCCAGGAGGCCUCUCAUUUGCAUUUGUCCCCGCUAAUGCAGGACAGAGAUCAUGGAAGUUGGGCCCGACUGGAUGAGAUUUGGGGGUCUUUGGAAGUGGAGAAUGUGUUUGCCCUGGGGAAGAGAGGUGAUGUCUAGGAGACCUCUUCACUCAGGGCAAGCUCUAUGACCUGCUUUGACUCCAGAAUGUGGUAGAAGUGGCAUCACAUAAAUUGCAGAGCCUAGGCUUCAAGAGACCUUGCAACUUGCCUCUCACUGACUUGAAGUGCUCCCAUCAGAGCAUCUUGUAAGGAGCAGGUGGAGCAUGUGGACAAGCCAUCCCCACCAGCCCCUGAGACAUGUGAGAGAGGCCAGAACAGGCCAUCCGGACCCCACUGUGCUGGUGGAUGAGACAGCAGAAGGAAUAUCAACCUACCAACAGAAUCCUGAGAAAUGCUCACUCUUACUUCAAGCUGCUGCAUUUUGAUGUUAUGAAACCAUAAAUAACUUAUGAAGUCAUCUUUGCUGACUUAAAGUUUUCCAUAACUUUAUUAUAACAUAUCAAAAUUAUGAAAAAUGUGAAAAGUAGAAAACUGAUGAAUUUUGCUUCUUCAUAUGGUCUUUAAGAAUCUCAAAGGCACUGAAGUUUUUUAUCUUUUCUGUCUUAGAAUAAAAAACCUUGAAUGAAAAUCUGCUUCUUGGAAAAGCAGCAAGGUUUAUGCAGAGGCAAUCUGGUAUUUGUGUGCACUGGCAGCUGAUCAUACCCAGCAUGCACGCACUCUCAGGGCAGAGUCUGAUGCCCCACAUAAUGGGGCAUGGUAAGGACUCCCAUGUCCUUGAGAUAAAAUGAUAAGGAAAAUACACACUGCUAUUAGAAUAACAGGCCCAGCUUCUGCACAUUUUAAUUCCCAAAGUUUUCAUGAAAGACAAUGAUUUUUUGGUACCAUGUUUAACUCUACAAGAAUCAGUAGUGAAAACUAAAAAUGAUACUUUGUGAAAGUUCAUUAAUUUUGUUUUCAGCCAGUGGUGGCCUUGGUCAGAUAGAAUCAAAUCUAUGAUACUUUUUAUCAGAAAUGCUUAUACUGUGUACAAACCCAAAGUGAUGGCUUUCAAAGAUUGAAUUUGAUUAUUUUCUGUAUGGUGCAGAUGAAAAAUUACUACACAGGAGAAGGUGGGUUGGAGGUGCUCACGAGUAACCAGGAAACAGUCUGAAGUUUUUCUGAUACUUCUCCUUGGUCCAACCAAAUGUGAGAUAUAAACACAAACUUGGGAUUCCGUUCUUAUGUUUUGGUUGUUUCAGUCUUUACAGAUGUAUCGAAAGGCUGUCCAAAAAUGUCUGACUUCUGUAGUGUGCCUUCGUAGCACUAGAGGGUUCUGCAGCUGUGAAACUGAAGGCAUUGGCAAGAAGCCCUCCAUCUUCAAACCACUUUCUGCUAAGGUGUGGCUCUAUAAAACCACUAUGAGCUGGGCUUCACUGAGACUGAGUUGUUUCAGUAGGAUCUUCCGGAAAAACAUGUUCCCUCCUUUACCUGGGUUGUCAUUCUGAGAACAAUCACACCUCCAAUUUUGGCUUACUAAGCAAUAGCGUUUUAAUGAUUUUAAGCCAGGAUUUGCUCCUCCUUUCCUCAGUAUGAGAGCUUAACCACUGGAGGAACCAAGAAUUCAUGCUGGUUGGGUUCUGAUUCCACUUUAACUUACUGUAUAGCCUCAUCCCUUGUUUUUCUGGAGAUUCUCUUUUUCUGCUUCACUGAUUUAUAUUUACAUUAAAAUCAAAUGAGGCCAUGUUUCUGAAAUCACAUUGUCCCUACAUGGUCAUUACAAUGAGUCUGUAAUGUGACUGAAAGACAGCCAUGGAUACAGGUAGAGGAUAUCAGGCAAUUGAAUGCUCAUCAAGCAUUCAAUUCAGGGCAAAUGGCAUAAGGUAUGCAGUUGGCCUCUUCUGAUAUCUGUGUCUUAAUCCUUUCUUUAGCCUCUGUUUUCUGGACCAAGGCUAAGAUAUUUUCUGGGCACAGUGGCUCAUGCCUAUAAUCCCAGCACUCUGGGAGGCCAAGGUGGGAGGAUUUCUUCAGCCCAGGAGUUCGAGACCAGCCUGGGGAACAUAGGAGACCUCAUUCCUACAAAUAAUAAAAAAAAUUAGCCAGC
ensembl:lncRNA novel transcript